GACAUCCUCAAAAGUGUGUGGUUAUACAUCUUCUUCCCCUCACAUUGUUGAAUCUGCGACAGCAUUCAACCCUCCUCGACCUCCUGAAUCAGUAGGUCCUAAGAAAAAGCAUAGGAUGAUGCGAUGGGAAAGUCGGCCGGAAGAUGUUGAGGUGGAUCUUGAUAGCUAUC
rnacentral:ribozyme from 1 species